CAAGGUAAACGAUAGUCUUCGUCAUUGACUGCAAGGGGAGAGCAGCUUAAUUAUUGAGUACCUCAGAGAGACUGCGGAGUGAAGACCCUCAUUCCUGAUGUAUCUCGAAGCAUUGAUGUUCUCUCAUGCCAGCCGUUCAGACUGCGCCCAUUUGUUUGCACAAUACAGUACACUUAUUGUGAAAUUUGCAUUUCUUGCAUUCGGAGAAGAGAAAGAGGGCAAUAACGAAUCCAAAAAUAUCAGUUCAACUUGACCCUGUUUUUGUUAGCUUGAAUGCCCAUGAGGCCAUGAUCAAUCCUCGCAAGGUUGCUUUUCAAACAUGGAUUAAGGGAGAGCUACUGCAAAAUCCCUGGAGCCAAGCAGAAAUGUCAAAAGGAAGCCAAUACCACUAUUGUUUCAAGAUUAAGGUGUAGAGGAACAUGAUGAAGAAGCAAGUGCAAGUUUAUC